UACGGAGGGUGCAAGCGUUAUCCGGAUUCACUGGGUUUAAAGGGUGCGUAGGCGGGUAAGUAAGUCCGUGGUGAAAUCUCUGAGCUUAACUCAGAAACUGCCGUGGAUAUUAUUUGCCUUGAAUAUUGUGGAGGUGAGCGGAAUAUGUCAUGUAGCGGUGAAAUGCUUAGAUAUGACAUAGAACACCAAUUGCGAAGGCAGCUCACUACACAAUCAUUGACGCUGAGGCACGAAAGCGUGGGGAUCAAACAGG
rnacentral:rRNA from 1 species